rnacentral:ncRNA from 1 species
GAGUUUGAUCCUGGCUCAGGACGAACGCUGGCGGCGUGCCUAAUACAUGCAAGUCGAGCGGACAAUUGAGAGCUUGCUCUCAAUUGUUAGCGGCGGACGGGUGAGUAACACGUGGGCAACCUGCCCUGUAGACUGGGAUAACUUCGGGAAACCGAAGCUAAUACCGGAUAAUCUUUUGCGUCUCAUGGCGCGAAAGUAAAAGUUGGGUUUUACCUAACACUACAGGAUGGGCCCGCGGCGCAUUAGCUAGUUGGUAAGGUAACGGCUUACCAAGGCGACGAUGCGUAGCCGACCUGAGAGGGUGAUCGGCCACACUGGGACUGAGACACGGCCCAGACUCCUACGGGAGGCAGCAGUAGGGAAUCUUCCGCAAUGGACGAAAGUCUGACGCGCCAUCGCUCUUGACAAACACGCCAAUGGUUUAGCGAGAGGUUUAACAAGGGCGAAGAGGACAAAAGAAGGCAUAGCUAAAUAAGCCCUUGGUACUUCCAUUUUAAACCAUUGGCAAGUUCGGUUUGUCAAGAGUGCGCUCC